GCUGAGCAGUGAGGUUAAGCAACGUGACUUACUGAACGUAACCUUUAAGUGCUGAGCAGUGAGGUUAAGCAACGUGACUUACUGAACGUAACCUUUAUGUGCUGAGCAAUGAGGUUAAGCAACGUGACUUACUGAACGUAACCUUUAUGUGCUGAGCAAUGAGGUUAAGCAACGUGACUUACUGUGCUGAGCAGUGAGGUUAAGCAACGUGACUUACUGAACGUAACCUUUAUGUGCUGAGCAAUGAGGUUAAGCAACGUGACUUACUGAACGUAACCUUUAUGUGCUGAGCAGUGAGGUUAAGCAACGUGACUUACUGAACGCAACCUUUAUGUGCUGAGCAGUGAGGUUAAGUAACGUGACUUACUGAAAACACUUCCAACGAUGUUGUUGAGUGUUGAGCUUUUACAGUGUAGGCCUAAAUGUC